CCACCACAUCAGAAGAUGAAAUGCUGUGGUCAGAUAUUGCAAUUGUAGAAUCUGUGAAUACAGCAGCCCCUGAUGCCAGCAGAUGAAGGUGUAGUGGACUGGUCACUAUCAUUUCUCAAGUGCUGUAGCUGUUAGAAAUGUGGUUUUAUGAAGUGGUUAACUGCAACAGGUAAUGUUCCAAGCAAAAUAAUCACCAGUCUUCCCUUUGAUAGACAUAUUAAUUGCAUUUCUAUAGAAUUUAGUUGUAUUGAAACUACAAAAAAUAGUUUAUGCUUAUAUAUGAAACUGACAAAUGGGACUGCAUCAAAUUAAAAAGUUUCUGUACAUCAAAAGAAACAGUUACCAGAGUCAAGAGACAGAAUGGGAGAAUGGGAGAAAGUUUUCAUUCAAAGACUGAAUCCCUUAUUCAAAAGAUAAUCCAGAAUAUACAAAGAGCUCAAGAACUUAACAGCAAAACAACAAAGAAUCCAAUUCAUAAAUGGGCAAAUGAAUAGGUAGUUCUCAGAUGAAGAAAUGGAAAUGGUUGAUAAAUACAUGACAAAACGUUCAACAUCCUUAUACUUAGAGGAAAUGAAAAUCAUCUCACUCCAGUCACAGAGGCAGUCAUCAAGAAAACAAAUGUUGACAAAGGCUGGCAAGGAUGCAGGGGAAAAGAACCCAGUGUUGGUGGGAAUGUAAGCUAAGGCAACCACUAUGGAAAACAGUAUGGAGGUUCACUGAAAAGAAAACUAAAAAUAGAUUUACCUUAUAACCCUGCCAUACCACUUAGGCAUAUAUUGGAAGGAGUAUAAAUCAAUAAACAAGAGAGAUAUUUAUGUACCCAUGUCUAUUGCAUAGCUCUUCACAAUAACCAAAAUGUUGAAACAGCCAAGGUGCCAACAGGUCAAUGAAUGAAUAAAGAAAAUAUGCAUGUAUGUAUACAUACAUACAUAUCAUGGGAUAUUACUCAGCCAUAAAAAGUGAAAUUAUGUUAUUUUCAGGAAAAUGGAUAGAACUGGUGAUCAUCAUGCUGAGAAAAGCUGCACUCAAAAACCAAAUAUCCCAUGUUCUUGCUCAUUUAUGGAACCUAGACCUAAAGGAUGAUGAUAAUGACAAUAAUAAUGGGACACAAAUGUGUAUGAGGAUUACAGGGAUUGGGGAAUCAGUGGAAGGCGGGAGGAGAAGGAAAGGAAAUGAUACUGAAGGGUGAAGAGGAUGGAAGAAUGCUACAUAUAUACAUAUAAAGAUUCCAUAAUGAAAGCCACCAAACACUUUUGAAGAAGGGGGGAGGAAGAGAAAGAGGGGAAAUAGAAAUAUAAUGGAAGGGUAAACUUGAGGUACACUGUACACAGGUAUGGAAUUAUCACAAUGAAAUCCCCUCAUGUGAUUAAUAUAUAAUUCAAAAUCAAAACAAAAAUUUUGAGGAAAGAAUGAAGGGAAGUUCUGAUCAUAUGCUUUCAUAAUUUCAUCAACAACUUUUCAAAUUUGUCUUCCUUUCUAACAGUAAGGCAAAUACUUGUCCUAUAACUGCCUUCUUUCAUAAAGACUUUAAGGCAAUUUUUUAAAAGGAGUACAAAAUGAGGACUAAAGGGGAAAAAGCAAUGUUAGGUUUAGAAAUCUGUGCCUGUGGUGUAAACAUAGGGCUAUGAGCUUCCUAGUGACCAAGACAAAGAGGAAAGUCUCUUUUAGUUACAUUUUUUUAAAAAUGAAGUUUCUAAGGAGAAGCAAAUUGUCCCAGGCACAGAGAACAGAAGUAAAUUUUCUCAGUUACUCAUAAAAAGGGUAUUUGGAGCUCUGAUGAUCGAUUUCCUCAAAUGCUCCAGAGUGACUGCCACUGAAUUAUAUAGGACUGAUUCGGAUCGUCCCUCAUUGUUGACAUUCUGCAAAAGUCUAAUUCUAUAAAGGAAAAUAAAUGACCUCCAAGCAAUCAUCCUUUUUUACCGUUCAUUUUCAGGUAAAUUUUUGGGAAACACUGAAAAGCAUGGAGCUGGAGGUCACCUCUGAUGAGUAGUUUGAAUGCAACUCUUCUCAGCAGAUGCAAAAGUGCAAAGCCAUAGCCUUGAUACAUUUCACCUAGCUGGACCAUUCCCUUACCCCCGUAAAAGGUAUGGGGCAGAAGAGCAGGCCACCUACCUCUGCAAGAAGAAGGGCAAGUGCAUGGAAGAAGAUGCAGAAAUUUUGACUAAGAGAAAGAAAAAUGAAACUAAUGGUCCAUGUUGACAGGAAAGACUGUCAUAUGAGCCAGAGAAAGUUAUAAUGACUCCAAAGGUUCAAUCCAAAGGAAUGAUCAAGGGAUAAGGAGAUUAGGUGUCUCGAUGAACAAGGUCCUGUUGCCUCUGUAUCUCCCCCCAACCCCCUUUGGGCAUCAUUUAUGGUAUCAGGAGAAAAAAUGUUUCAUCAGAAAUCAGAAAAAAAAGGGCUUUGAUUCUUAAGUUGAACCUUGAAGGCAGUAGGCAUAGAAACUGUUAGAUGAGUUGGAGCAAGGCUUCCAGCCCUGGCAGGAUGAGAGGUUUCCAGGUAUGCUGCUGGGACAGUGAGGGAAAGGCUGGAUCACAGGGAGGAAAGAGAGCUGGAUGUGCUAGUAGGGAGUUGAGGAGGACAGAAGGACAGGUGGAAGGGUUAAAAGGAAGCAGAGAAUACUUGGAUGAUGAUGGCCCCUCUCUGAGAAAAAGACCCCACACCUUGCUCUCUAGAGAGGAUAGUGGUGGGUCACAGAAAACAAAGAUAGUUGGGGUGGCCAUUGGUGCCCAAGUAGAGCCCAAGGCAACUGCAAGAUCCCAGAAGAGAAGUGUCUGAGUGGUGUGUAGGGGACCUGGCACAGCAUGAAAUUGUUAGAAUGGGGCUCCUGUGCUCAGAAGUAUUACCUGAGUAGUAAUGAAGGACUCACAAAAUUUCCUGGAAGUGCUGUGACAUGAAAGCAGUGUAAUCAAUCCUCCUGUGCCAGCAGCUGAGAAAGAAGACACCACACCUGAAGAAUUCUGGGGAACAGCUCAACGACAAAGACCCAAUGGGAGCAAGGACAUCUCCGCCAAGACUAGUGCAGAGAUAGCAUCAUGCAGAGAAUGAGAUAUACCUUCCCCCAUUGCCAAGCACCAAAUAAGCUAGGACCAGUCAAAAGGAUGACGAUAGUGAUAUCAUGGUUCUGACACCCAGAUAGAUAAGUUAUUAUAGAAAAACAAAAUUAUAUUUCUUAUACAACUGAAUUUUUUGAUUGAGAUGUGAACUCAAAAGUACUAUCAAUCAAUCAAUCAAUAAAUUAAGAAAAAUUUUAGGUAUACCUAACAAAAAUUAUUCAGCUUUUCCUUUCUGGAACUCAGGAGAGUUUCAUAUAUAUCCUAACAAAGAUCUUGACCACCGUUAAGUAGCUAGAUUGCGUGCGGCCUCCUAGCUUCCUGGGUGUAGCUCACAUAGCCCUGCUUAGUAAGUGCUGCUCAUGUAUGGCUGAUGGUAUCCUGGGAGCUUUCACUGUUUUCCCUCAUUUAAUCCUUGAAAUAAUAGCUGUGAGAUUAGAUGUUAUUCCCAUUCUACUGAUUAGUAAAUUUAGGCUCAACAAAGUAAAAUUUGAGGGCAUCUGAAGAAUUGUCCAACAUCACUUUUAUGAAGGUUAGUCUGACAUUUUUGUGAACAAGGCUAUGUUCCUCCUUCCUACUUCCCCAAAUAGCAUUUUCCUUUUACAGCACUUUUUUUUUUUUGUAGGUAGCAUCUGGGCUUGAACGCAGGACCUCGUGCUUACUAGGCAAGUGCUCUACCACUUGAGCUAUACUGCCAGUCUACAUUUCCCUUU